GUAGGUGAACCUGCGGAAGGAUCAUUACAGAAUUAAACUUGGUGGACUGUUGCUGGCUCCUCCGGGGGCACUGUGCACGUCUGUCAUUUUUACUUUUCCACCUGUGCACCUUUUGUAGAUUCCGUUAACAGGUUUCUGAAUUUCCGUGGGGGCGGUCUUGCUUCUGCGGUUUUUUCAGAGCUUGGGAGUCUACGUUUUUUUAUACAAACCCAAAUGUAUGUUUUAGAACGUGUAUACAAGGCCUUAAAACAGCCUAUAAUAAUCUAUACAACUUUCAGCAACGGAUCUCUUGGCUCUC
rnacentral:misc_RNA from 1 species